rnacentral:rRNA from 1 species
UCCGGAGUUACUGGGCGUAAAGGGCGUGCAGGCGGUUCUCUAAGUUUGGAGUGACAGUUCCCGGCUCAACUGGGGAAGGCCUACCGAAAACUGGAGAACUUGAGGGCCAGAGAGGGACAUAGAAUUCCGGGUGGAGUGGUGAAAUGCGUAGAUAUCCGGAGGAAUACCAAAGGCGAAGGCAGUGUCCUGGCUGGCAUCUGACGCUGAGGCGCGAAAGCUAGGGGAGCGAACAGG